rnacentral:rRNA from 1 species
UGGGGAAUAUUGCACAAUGGGCGCAAGCCUGAUGCAGCCAUGCCGCGUGUAUGAAGAAGGCCUUCGGGUUGUAAAGUACUUUCAGCGGGGAGGAAGGGAGUAAAGUUAAUACCUUUGCUCAUUGACGUUACCCGCAGAAGAAGCACCGGCUAACUCCGUGCCAGCAGCCGCGGUAAUACGGAGGGUGCAAGCGUUAAUCGGAAUUACUGGGCGUAAAGCGCACGCAGGCGGUUUGUUAAGUCAGAUGUGAAAUCCUCGGGCUCAACCUGGGAACUGCAUCUGAUACUGGCAAGCUUGAGUCUCGUAGAGGGGGGUAGAGUUCCAGGUGUAGCGGUGAAAUGCGUAGAGAUCUGGAGGAAUACCGGUGGCGAAGGCGGCCCCCUGGACAAAGACUGACGCUCAGGUGCGAAAGCGUGGGGAGCAAACAGG